AAACUCUGGAGAAUCCCUUUUUGGGUGCCGAAGGUGCAAGGCCGUAUGGUCGAAUCUCUCAGGCUAAAGGACAGAGCGGG
rnacentral:ncRNA from 1 species